rnacentral:rRNA from 1 species
UCGAGGAUCUUUCGCAAUGGGCGAAAGCCUGACGAAGCGACGCCGUGUGAGCGAUGAAGGCCUUCGGGUUGUAAAGCUCUUUCGCUUAGGAACAAGAGAAUACGGUGAAUAACCGUGUGAUUUGAGGGUACUAGGUAAAGAAGCACCGGCUAACUCCGUGCCAGCAGCUGCGGUAAUACGGAGGGUGCAAGCAUUAAUCGGAUUUAUUGGGCGUAAAGGGCGCGUAGGCGGUUCUGUAAGUCAGAUGUGAAAUUCCGAAGCUCAACUUCGGAGCUGCAUUUGAAACUACAAAACUAGAGGAAUGGCGGAGAAAAUGGAAUUCCACGUGUAGCGGUGAAAUGCGUAGAUAUGUGGAAGAACACCUGUGGCGAAAGCGGUUUUCUAGCUUAAACCUGACGCUGAGGCGCGAGAGCAAGGGGAGCAAACAGG